GACGAACGCUGGCGGCGUGCCUAACACAUGCAAGUCGAACGGGGUUAAGGGAAAUUUUCGGAUGGAACUUAACUUAGUGGCGGACGGGUGAGUAACGCGUGGAUAACCUGCCUCACACUGGGGGAUAGCAGCUGGAAACGGCUGGUAAUACCGCAUAAGACCACAGCACCGCAUGGGGCAGGGGUAAAAGAUUUAUCGGUGUGAGAUGGAUCCGCGUCUGAUUAGCCAGUUGGCGGGGUAACGGCCCACCAAAGCGACGAUCAGUAGCCGGCCGGAGAGGGUGAACGGCCACAUUGGGACUGAGACACGGCCCAAACUCCUACGGGAGGCAGCAGUGGGGAAUAUUGCACAAUGGGCGCAAGCCUGAUGCAGCAACGCCGCGUGAGUGAAGAAGUAUUUCGGUAUGUAAACUUCUAUCAGCAGGGAAGAAAAUGACGGUACCUGACUAAGAAGCCCCGGCUAACUACGUGCCAGCAGCCGCCGUAAUAC
rnacentral:rRNA from 1 species